rnacentral:rRNA from 1 species
GACGAACGCUGGCGGCGUGCUUAACACAUGCAAGUCGAACGGAAAGGCCCUGCUUUUGUGGGGUGCUCGAGUGGCGAACGGGUGAGUAACACGUGAGUAACCUGCCCUUGACUUUGGGAUAACUUCAGGAAACUGGGGCUAAUACCGGAUAGGAGCUCCUGCUGCAUGGUGGGGGUUGGAAAGUUUCGGCGGUUGGGGAUGGACUCGCGGCUUAUCAGCUUGUUGGUGGGGUAGUGGCUUACCAAGGCUUUGACGGGUAGCCGGCCUGAGAGGGUGACCGGCGACAUUGGGACUGCGAGACGGCCCAGACGCCUACGGGGGGCAGCGGUGGGGAGUAUUGCACAGUGGGCGGAAGCCUGAUGCAGCAACGCCGCGUGCGUGAUGACGGCCUUCGGGUUGUAAACCGCGUUCGCCUGUGACGAAGCGUGAGUGACGGUAAUGGGUAAAGAAGCACCGGCUAACUACGUG